UACGGAGGAUGCGAGCGUUAUCCGGAUUUAUUGGGUUUAAAGGGUGCGCAGGCGGGAGAUUAAGUCGGCGGUGAAAUUUUGCAGCUCAACUGUAAAAGUGCCUUCGAAACUGGUUUCCUUGAGUGUAGAUGAAGUAGGCGGAAUUUGUGGUGUAGCGGUGAAAUGCAUAGAUAUCACGAGGAACUCCGAUCGCGCAGGCAGCUUACUAAACUACUACUGACGCUCAGGCACGAAGGCGUGGGGAUCAAACAGGAUUAGAUACCCU
rnacentral:rRNA from 1 species